UGCGCCGGGCACGCGCCCGCGCUCCCCUCGGCCGGAGCGGCGGCCCGGGCACCGAGGGACUGCCCCGGCCACCGAGGGACCGGCCUGGCCAUUGAGGGACUGCCCCGGGCACCGAGGGACCGGCCUGGCCAUUGAGGGACUGGUCUGGCCACUGGGAGACCGGCCCGGCCCAGGCCGCUGUGAUUGUUUCCCUCACUGGGUCGCUGGGAGCUCCCCGAGCGUGCACCCAGCCCUGGUUGGGACCAAGGACGGCCACCCAUAUUUCAGGCCCAAGAGCAUGGACAACAACGUGGCUUAACAACGUGGACUGAAGAGAAAAAACAAGAAUGAUGGGACUUCAUAACCUAAAGCUAUAAUUGGACAAUUAGCUCCAAUAUGGAAAUGGACCAGAACUUAUAAAAGUGAGAGACCUCGUAACCAGUUGUCCAUUUUUUUGUGACCAUUUGGGUUCAUCUUGGCUGUAGCCCUGGCUGGGCUCCUGUACUGCCUGAGGUGUAUCUAUUGAGGUGUUUUAAUAAAUCCCUAAUUUAUUCUUUAAA